rnacentral:rRNA from 1 species
UACGGAGGGUGCAAGCGUUAUCCGGAUUCACUGGGUUUAAAGGGAGCGUAGGUGGCUUUGUAAGUCAGUGGUGAAAUCUUAGAGCUCAGCUCUAAAACUGCCAUUGAUACUGCUUAGCUUGAAUCACGUCGAGGUGGAUGGAAUAUUACAUGUAGCGGUGAAAUGCUUAGAUAUGUAAUAGAACACCGAUUGCGAAGGCAGUUCACUAGGCGUGUAUUGACACUGAGGCUCGAAAGCGUGGGGAUCAAACAGG